rnacentral:lncRNA from 1 species
GAGGGAAGGUGGGAGGGUGGGAGAGAAGGAGGGAGGGAGGGAGGAAGAAAAGGAGGAAGGUAAUUAUUGAGUGGCUGAUCUGUGUCAGGUACUAUGUUGGGCGCUUUCACUUAGUUUGAUAAUCAUAAUUGAUUAUCAAAUUGAUUAUCAAAUUAUCAAUCCCCAUUGUCUUGGGAAUUAACAUUCAGUUAAUCCCCAAGACAUUGAUUACUUAGUUUGAUAAUCAUAAUCACCCUGUGACAUUAUCAUAAUUAUUCACAUUUCCUGCAGCUCAGGGAGGGUAAGCCAUUUAUUCACUCAAGUUCCUAUGGUCACAAUUCCUAUGGCCCGAGCUUGAAGUCUGUGCAAAGUUGGCGUGACUCUCAAAGCCCAUGUUCUUUCCUAUGUCGUGUUCAUAGGAAGUCAUUUCUACUGGUUUCUAGACACUUAAAGGGCUGAGUGUACUGUUUCGUCUCAGUGUUGUAAUUUGAGGCUUCCAGGGAAGACGUCUUGCAUAAAAAUUGGCUGAGUUUCCAUUGUUGGUGAUUCAUUCUCCUUGGGUUAGGGCUGUUCACUUCCUCUGUCCUAGCUUAUUUUUCAAGAUGUAAGAUUCUUGGAGGAUGAUUUAGCCACCAGAUGAGUCUGUUACAGCAGUGACGGUAGCUAGUGGGCAGGAGAAGGACUCUGGGGCCAGGAGAGGGAGGAAAUGUGAAAAGGUAGGUGGACAUGGUGUGGAGGUCCAGGGAAGGCAGAAGAUGAAGUAGAGAUGUACCAAAAGAAAGAAACACUGAAGAAGCAGAGGCAAGACUGCCCACUUCCCCCCAUCUUUGCUCAAGCCCUUCUUUACCAAGGAAGGGGCACAGGAAUGCCUGGGAAGACCACAGUUGUGGUCAAGACCAAGAAGAAAUGGGAUGAGGAUGAAGGAGGGGAAGGAGAAAGAUGCUAACGUGUACACAGCACUGACCCUGGGCCAGAUACCAUGCUUAGGGCUUGAAGCACAUGAUCUCAUUUAUUUUGAGCCACUCUAGGACACUCUGAACUUGCAGAGAUGAGGAAGUUCAGCUCCUGUUGGCUAAAAGACUUUCCCAAGGACAUACGGAUAGCACAGAGAGGAUUCGAACUAAGGUCUCUCUGGUCCACUCUACCCAGGUACAGUACCGAAAAGACAACAGGAUGUACAAUGUCACCUUUUCAUAUAAUAAUUUUAAUAAUAGCAGCUAAUAGGAAUUGAAAGCUUACUAUGUGGCAGGCACCGUUCUAGGUGUUUCUAUGAAUUAAGUCAUUAAAUCCAUGUGAGGUAGACACUCCUUACCCCCAUUUUACAGAUGAGGAGACUGCGGUACAGAGUAUUCUCUCAGCUGGUAAAUGAAGUAUGCUGUAGGCAAUUUAGCUUCCCCAUGCAAGUAAGAGCAGCUAUACUGGAGCCAGGGGUGGGCAAACUGAAAUUACUGCCAAGCUGGGAAACCAGAGGAAGACUAUAACAAUAAAACAAGCAAUAAGCUCCAGGCAGCAACCGAAUUCUUUG